UACGUAGGGUGCAAGCGUUAAUCGGAAUUACUAGGCGUAAAGCGUGCGCAGGCGGUGAUGUAAGACAGAUGUGAAAUCCCCGGGCUCAACCUGGGAACUGCAUUUGUGACUGCACGGCUGGAGUGCGGCAGAGGGGGAUGGAAUUCCGCGUGUAGCAGUGAAAUGCGUAGAUAUGCGGAGGAACACCGAUGGCGAAGGCAAUCCCCUGGGCCUGCACUGACGCUCAUGCACGAAAGCGUGGGGAGCAAACAGG
rnacentral:rRNA from 1 species